UUUGUUCUUGUAGAAAUAGUAAGUAUAAGCUAGGGUGGGGGAGGAAAGCUUAUUGCUCUCUGGACAGAGUCUUUGGCUGUACAUAUUUGUCCUUGUGGUUAAUUUCAUCUGGAAAAUAGGCUGAGGGAAAUAAUCCUUUUGAAGUGGAGUCAUGACCAACAAUGGCAACACACAGGCAAAGCAGCAUCAGCAACAGGAAAUCCAUCUCCUAGAGAUGUUACAGGUGGGCCUAAAUCUCAGCAAUGCAAACCUGUGGAGUGCAGGUUGAUGUAGUAUAGAGCCUUGUGUAUGAAUCAACCCAGAUGCUUGAACUACAGAGGAUGAAAAGAGGAGAAAGGAUGGGGGCCCCAGGACCAUUAGUAAUCCACAACUGUUGACAAACCAUAAAGCAGAAAAAAUGGUGGCUUUCAGCUGGCAGCCAUGUCCCCUUGGAGAGAAUGUUGGCUUGCAAAGGCUGCUGUAGCAUGGUAACCCUGGCUGUUUCCUCUCACCCAGGGUAGCAUUGCUGCCCCAAAAGCAGGCCAUGAAAAAUAGAUUCCCUAGAGGCAAUAGACAUUCAUAUUUUUUUGUUUUUAAGGCCAGAAGGGUCCAAAAGAUGAUCUAAUCUGAUUUUCUGUAUUUCCCUUGGUGAGGAAAUAUUUGAGAACCAGCCAUCAAAUGGUGUGGAAGCUUAGUUCUUCAGCUGGCUGAUCCUUUUCUCAUUAUCCAUUAGCUGUGUAUACCCUUCUUUUAUGGCAGACAAGAGGCUAACAAAUUCUGUUCACAGGCCUUCAGUUGGAAAAGUGUAGGGUUCUAACUAACCUUAUUUUCCUGUAACUAAGCCUCUUUGUUAAGCCACAAUGGUCUACCUGGCAUCUGCUGACUGGCUAGAACCAGAAAGGGUAUUAAUGUCUAUAUAUUAAACAUUUCUCGUCAAA